rnacentral:rRNA from 1 species
AUUGAACGCUGGCGGCAGGCCUAACACAUGCAAGUCGAACGAGUGGCGGACGGGUGAGUAAUGUCUGGGAAACUGCCCGAUGGAGGGGGAUAACUACUGGAAACGGUAGCUAAUACCGCAUACCCUCGGAUGUGCCCAGAUGGGAUUAGCUAGUAGGUGGGGUAACGGCUCACCUAGGCGACGAUCCCUAGCUGGUCUGAGAGGAUGACCAGCUACACUGGAACUGAGACACGGUCCAGACUCCUACGGGAGGCAGCAGUGGGGAAUAUUGCACAGUGGGGGCAAGCCUGAUGCAGCCAUGCCGCGUGUAUGAAGAAGGCCUUCGGGUUGUAAAGUACUUUCAGCGGGGAGGCGUUACGCGCAGAAGAAGCACCGGCUAACUCCGUGCCAGCAGCCGGGGUAAUAC